AACGAACGCUGGCGGCAUGCCUAACACAUGCAAGUCGAACGAGACCUUCGGGUCUAGUGGCGCACGGGUGCGUAACGCGUGGGAACCUGCCCUUAGGUUCGGAAUAACUCCCCGAAAGGGGUGCUAAUACCGGAUAAUGUCUUCGGACCAAAGAUUUAUCGCCUUUGGAUGGGCCCGCGUUGGAUUAGCUAGUUGGUAGGGUAAAAGCCUACCAAGGCGACGAUCCAUAGCUGGUCUGAGAGGAUGAUCAGCCACACUGGGACUGAGACACGGCCCAGACUCCUACGGGAGGCAGCAGUGGGUAAUAUUGGACAAUGGGCGAAGGCCUGAUCCAGCAAUGCCGCGUGAGUGAUGAAGGCCUUAGGGUUGUAAAGCUCUUUUACCCGGGAUGAUAAUGACAGUACCGGGAGAAUAAGCUCCGGCUAACUCCGUG
rnacentral:rRNA from 1 species